AGUGAACGCUGGCGGUAGGCCUAACACAUGCAAGUCGAACGGCAGCACAGUAAGAGCUUGCUCUUACGGGUGGCGAGUGGCGGACGGGUGAGGAAUACAUCGGAAUCUACUUUUUCGUGGGGGAUAACGUAGGGAAACUUACGCUAAUACCGCAUACGACCUACGGGUGAAGGCAGGGGAUCUUCGGACCUUGCGCGAUUGAAUGAGCCGAUGUCGGAUUAGCUAGUUGGCGGGGUAAAGGCCCACCAAGGCGACGAUCCGUAGCUGGUCUGAGAGGAUGAUCAGCCACACUGGAACUGAGACACGGUCCAGACUCCUAAGGGAGGCAGCAGUGGGGAAUAUUGGACAAAGGGCGCAAGCCUGAUCCAGCCAUACCGCGUGGGUGAAGAAGGCCUUCGGGUUGUAAAGCCCUUUUGUUGGGAAAGAAAAGCAGCAGGUUAAUACCCCGCUGUUCUGACGGUACCCAAAGAAUAAGCACCGGCUAACUUCGUG
rnacentral:rRNA from 1 species